rnacentral:lncRNA from 1 species
AGGUGUGCAUUGUAGCCAACUCCUAGAUGUAGAAGAAGAAAGAGCACAGACUUGUUGUAGCUUGUAGUAUGAAUUGUAACAGUCAUGCUGUACUCUUUAUGUAAUGCAGUUAUGGAAUAAGCAUCUCUUUGUUAGAGACCCGAUAUCGGCCAUGGCUUGUGACAUGUAUAAUUGGAGACAGAGUUCCUCUCAAAAUCAAGGGUCCCCAAUUCUGGUACAAAUGUGAUUUCCAGUAUGAUUCUACUAAGAAACCAAGACAAUAAGCGUUUCCUACAUAAAGAUUACAACUUUCUCAAAAUCGAGGGACGGAGGCAUAUCCUGGAUGCUCUUUCAUUACAUAGAAGGCUGGCAUUUGAUGAAGUGAUGAAUGGUGAUCCCAUUUAUUGGUGUGCCUCAAUAUUCAGAGACCUUUGAGCUGGCUAACUAUGCCCGUCAAGUUGGUCCAUUUUUCAAAAGCCGUGGCUGAUGCAACGAACGCAUCCUUGGAGGACUCCAUGUCAUUGCCAACAACUGCACAAUAUAACGCAGAAUCGUAAAAACCAUAUCAAACUUCUUCAUUAAUUAGUUUCUACCGUAACUGCUACUUCGGUUAUCUGCCAACAUAAACCCAC